UACGGGGGGUGCAAGCGUUAUUCGGAAUCAUUGGGCGUAAAGGGCGCGUAGGCGGCCCCUUAAGUCAGAUGUGAAAGCCCUCAGCUUAACUGAGGAAGUGCAUUUGAAACUAAGGGGCUUGAGUAUGGGAGAGGGAAGCGGAAUUCCUGGUGUAGCGGUGAAAUGCGUAGAUAUCAGGAGGAACACCGGUGGCGAAGGCGGCUUCCUGGACCAAUACUGACGCUGAGGCGCGAAGGCGUGGGGAGCAAACAGGAUUAGAUACCCUGGUAGUCCACGCAGUAAACUGUGAACACUAGGUGUAGCGGGUAUUGACCCCUGCUGUGCCGAAGCUAACGCAUUAAGUGUUCCGCCUGGGAAGUACGGUCGCAAGGCUA
rnacentral:rRNA from 1 species